CUCACUGUUUCACCCAAAAACACCUCCAAUGCCAGAGAAAAGAAAAACAUGUGGGAUGCUUGUUCCUCUGUGGCUCCAUGAAUUGUGGUAUUGCUAGGGAGGCUGCUGGAACACACGCCACAGAGAGCUCUUCUGCUUCCCUGAAGGGUGUACCCUGCCCUUCGCCUGCUGCUUGCUGGGAUAGGUUCCGGCUCCCCCGCAACAUUGAAUUGGAAGAAGCCUUUACCAAAAGGAUGGAUGAAAGUCUGAAAGUCAUGGGUCUCAUGCCGCAAUCAAGUUGGGUCACCCAACGCAUCAUGGGACUCGCAGCAAGAAAUGGCAAAGAUCACUUUUCAACUGGAUGUUUUGGAGGAAAAUGGACAUAGUUCUCACCCUCCCUGGACAGUCACAGCAGUAAGGUCAAGCUGAAUAACAACCAUAUGCUGUUCCCUUCCAGUCAUAAGAACAGGAUGUGGUAGAUUUACUAAACACCCUGACCCCUUAUAAGAUUAAAAAGGAACAAUAUUUCACCGUAAAGUUGUGAGGAAUGAGUCCAGUAGUUUUAUUUGUUCGGAAUAGUACACUGUUAACAUAAAACCAACAAAAUCUGAGUAAAAAGAAAGUUUUUCUUCAGUCUUUACUGAUCCUCCAACAGCCCUCAACAACUGUCCUUCCAACAGUCACUCUCACAAGAUACAGUCGAUUCUGAAAUGAAAAGAAACUGUUACCCCCAACCUGCACAUCCACACACAAAAUAACACAUUACUAACAUUACACAUCUCAGUCUUAUAAAGGGCCCCUUUUCUAAGAAACAUCCCAGUUUCUAUUAUUCAUAUCACUGCCCAGUGUUUCACCUGAGCUGGAGUAAUUUUUUACAUUUCUAGGGAGGCAAGCAACAGCCACUGUCCAUUUCAAGGCUGCAUAAAUGAUGGUGCUGUCAAUAAAUAUCGCCACAAACAGAAUGUGGCGAUUGUCCAGAGAAGAUGUAGGAAUAUGCAUGAUGUUUCAUGGACAAGGACGAUUUGUGAUAGAACAUGCAUGUCUUGCUAUACGUGUGCCAUUAAUAUUCAAGACCCUCUGUGCCCUCUGUAAGGACUUAUGAGAAGAUUUUGCCUUUGACUUUUAGGAAAGAUCAGACAUAUGUGAUGUUAGGACACAACUCUUCAAGAGCCUGCAACAUGCUACUCUGGAUGUAUGUUGAAACAUACGCAAAGAUAUGCAUAUUCAGCAUACAUUGAAGUUGACUGGCUGGGUCUCCUGAGUGGCUUCUCAGGUUUGAGCCUGGGUCACAUCAAUAGUUGAGAUUCACCCAGUGGCGGUAUUCAGUUCGCCAAGUACUACCAAGGUUACGUUUUGGGUAGGUCAUCCAGAAUUCCCUCGGCUCUCUGCAAACACAAUAGCAACUGAUGGCAGCAUGUCGCAGGUACAGGGCUGUGCUACCUCUGGAGUGUUAAGAGAUGAUGGGCUUGAAGGGGGGCAGGAGGAGGAGUCUACCUCCACUUGAACUGAGAUGGGAACAACUUGCAACUGGAAAUUCCAAAAUUGGGUGGGCAUAAAAAAAACACGAAUGGAUUGUUCUGAAUGAAACAAAAUGGAUCACGACGGCCAGCUUCCUUUUCAUGUAGAAACCCCCUGAACCUGUCCUACAGCAGGAAAGCCAGAUUACACUCCUCCUGGUCAAGCACUUUUAGGGAACAUGUUGACUCACCAAUAAACCAUGUUUCCAACCCAUCUGUCCUUAUCCUGUCUAAAUCUUGGACAUGAGGUAACAUCAAGCAGCAACCUUUGGAUCUGAACUUUUCAAAGAACGCGAUCAUAAGAAACACCAGAAUCCCUGCAUAGAGGAUCAACACCCUUCAGCUUCAUUUCCUCCUUGACCGCAGAUCCACACAAGCUCUGGGACUACAUGACAUUUCAUAAGUGUGUCACACUUCACCAAAGUUUAAUACAGAAUUUGAAAAACACCCACAACACAAAUGUGACUCAUGGAGGCUAUGUUUUUUAAGGUCUAAAUUAUUUUAAUUCUUGACCUAAAUUAUGUGUACUGAAUUUGGCUUCAUUUGGUCGGUCAAAUGUUUUUUGACCAGUUGCUAGAUGGUGGCAGCACAACUUGUCAACAAUUUUUGUAAGGGCAUGGCAUAAUACAGCUUUGCAAGUUUCACACUUCUACAAUGUUGCUUUUCAGAGGAGUUUUUGUAAAUUCCUCAACUUU